CGGAGUUUAAUAAGUAAGUGGGUGCCAAACUCACACCUAACAUGGGAUAGUGGUGUAACAGUACAACAUAAAAACAAAAAACUAUAAAAAUCAGCUGAAAUCACAGAGUGAAUGUGGCCGGGAAGUUUUACAUCCCAACGACAAAAAGACACUGCUAUUAUAUACAAGUACAGAUCUGCGAGUACUUGCAGUUUUUAACAGCUUGUUAGUUAG
rnacentral:lncRNA from 1 species